GGCUGGAAAGGAACCUGGCUUUUGUUUUAAGAUUGCUUGCUUCUCUGUCCAGGGUCUGGAAGUGAUGCAGAAGGGGAACGAAAGCCCACCUUCUACCUCCAUUCCGGAUGGUCCCCGUUUGACAAUUCCUCAUUCCAUUUGUGGGGGACAAGGCACGACUUUGAUUUUGGCCUCAGCCCUUGCCUAGCGGUGCUGCUUUUGCCAAGCUACUUACACUCUCUGGACCUUAGCUUCCUUAGAUUCGGGUGAUCUCGGGAGGCUGGUUCCAGGAAAGAUGGCAGGAUUUGGAGUCAGAAGACACAGGCCAGCUCUAAUUCUGUAUCUCUGUCUCCUUAGCUAUAACCGGGGGAUUCCUCCAACCCACCUCAAGAGGUAGAUGUGAUGCUCAAAAGAGGAGAAAGUAUUCCGCUUUUGUGCUAGGAGAUUGUUGGAGGUGUGGCUUGCCGAGGUUCUCCUGCAGGCCUCUCAGGGCACAUCUGGAGUGGAACAAUCUCAGUGACUAAGGCAUCAACGUUUUUUUUUUUUUUCUUUUAAAAGCAACUUUAUUGAGGGAUAAUUUGCAUAAAGUGAAUUGCACUCCCUCUAAGUGUACAGUUCAAUGGAUUCUGAAAAAGGCGUACACCCUCAGAGCCGCUGCCUCAGUCAAGAUCCAGAAGGCUUUCAUCAUCCAGAAACGGUCCCUCAUGCCCUUUGCAGUCAAGCCCACCUCAGCCCCAGGCUUCCUUCAGCGUCGAUAGGUGUUCCUCCUGGGGCCAGAACUUCCUGUAGUCUUGAAUCUCGCUUUAUCCUUUCAGUAUGACGCCCCUGAGGUCCACGCAUGUUCUGGGCGUCAGCAGUUUGCUCCUUCUGGUUGUUGACCGGUAUUCCCUGUGUGGAUGCCCUAAGGCCUCAUUUAACAACACAAAAAUCAAACCUGAAAGUCUUCCUCUACUCUGUUUCCCCAGCACUAGAGGCCCCUUAGCUGACGAGGCUUCCCAGAGGGAUACCUGUUUUCCCUCUUAGGUGGAGAGAAUGAACCCAAGUUGUCUGGACCAGUUCUCAUUCUGUAGUCAAGAAGCAAGGAAAGCCUGUGCAUCCCUACAACUUCAGACUUCCUGGGUUCUGGCUGGAUCCUGCAGUCUGGACCUUAACACCAUUCUGCUUGUGUUGUCCCAUCCCCUGCCUGUCCCGAUUCCCCCUCCCCCAAAGAGCCCCACCUGGCUAUUUGCUGAUCUGGGACUGGGUAAAAUUUCACCCAGCCUAGAUCAAGGCCUUGUUAUGUCCAUAAGGUUCUGAUUGAAACACAGCCCAAUCAGCAGGGUAACCCAGUAAGCUGCCAGCAACCCUGUGAGAGCGUCAGUGCAAAUUGGUUUAUCAGAUGAGUAUCAGGUCCUUAGCAAGGGCCUGUGUGGAUGGGACCGAACAGCUUUGUUUUGGCUGCUUUGGGCUGGCCUGCACUUGUAGGCAGCACAAGCCAGAAGACUGCGUGGGCAGUGGGAAGCGAAAGAACAGCUCUCUCUGAAUGCAUUCGGGUGAAUUCCGUACAUCUUUGAUCACAAGGCUAAUUUGGUCCUUCCCUUUCCUUCUCCGCUGGGCUCUUACCUAUCUGUUCUCUGAUCCUGAUUUACCAUCAGGCAACAGGGGUGGGGAUGAUCAUAGUUCCCAUUUAUUACUGCACCUACGCAUGCUGCCAGGGCACUUCACAUACAUCAUUUCAUUUACUUCUCACACCAACCCUUUGAAGAAGGUAUUAUUAGUUCUAUUUUAUAGAUGGAAAAACCUGAGGCACAGGGAAUUUAAGUUACUUGUUCAAAGUCACUCAGUUGCAGAAUCAGGAUUUGAACCCAGGUCUGUCGGACUCUGGGGCCUAGGGCCCCUACUUGAGGUUCCGGAAGCAAAAGAAGUAGGCGACACCUAAAUUUUGCUUUCCUACCUCCUUACCUCUGUCUCCACUGGCUUAAAACAGCACGGAUUAGAUGUGCCUGUUUUUGAGCUUUAGAAAAUGGAAUCAUGUGAUACGCAUUCCUUCGUGUCUGAGUUCUUUCAUUUGCUCUUUUGUUUGCACAAUUUAUUUAUGUAGUUGUGUGCUAAUUCAUUUCCACUGAUGUACGAUAUGCGCUUGUAUAAAGAACACCUUUUUUUUUUUAAAAAAAAGAUUUAUUUAUUUGAGAGAGAGCAAGCACGUACGUGAGGGAGAGCAUGAGCGGGGUGGGGCUGGGGAGUAGAAGUAGAAGUAGACUCCCUGCUGAGCAGGGCUCCGAGGUGGAGCUGGAUCCCAGGACCCUGGGAUCAUGACCUGAGCCAGAGGCAGGCGCCUAACCCACUGAGCCACCCAGGCACCCCAUGAACACCUUAUUUUUAAAGACUUCUUGACUUGUGGUUAAACAUUCUACACUUGAAUUGCCACACCCGGUGACUCCCAUAGUUUAUCUGGCUUGUCCGGGUAUCUCUGAAAGAGGCUUGAUCUUCCCGGAAGGUAAUUCUGUUUUUAAAGGAGACUUCUUGCUAGCCCCGUGGCUCCUAAAGGGAUUAAAUCUACACAGAGGCAGCCUGUGAGCAAUGCCUCAGUCCCACUAUCCCACUCCGCCUCCCCUUGUCCUUUGUCCCUCCCUCCUUCCAUGUCACUUUGUCAAGAAGAAAGCACUUGAUUUGUUUAAGUAGCUGCAAUUCUUCGUAGCAGAAGUUGGACUGUUCUGGGACCGAGGCAGUCUGAAGUUUUCUCUGAGAUGUCGGGAACUUUCUAUUAGAAAGUCCUACUCUGGGCAGCCGUGGUGGCUCAGCAGUUUAGCGCCGCCUUCGGCCCAGGGCAUGAUCCUAGAGACCCGAGAUCCAGUCCCACGUCGGGCUCCCUGCAUGGAGCCUGCUUCUCUCUCUGCCUGUGUCUCUGCCUCUCUCUCUCUGUGCCUCUCAUUAACAAAUAAAUAAAAUCUUAAAAAAAAAAAAAAAAGAAAGUCCUACACUUAUCACUGAAUAGCCAUGUGACCUUGGGCGAAUCAUCUGAUUCUCUUGAAUCUCAGCUUCCUCAACAGCAGAAUGGGGGAAAUGGUGAUAGGAUGUUGGUCCUCAGCACCUACAACAUCAUAGUGUACGAGGCGGGUAUAAAAAUGAUGAAGGAUGCAAGCCGAUGCUCCUGCUUCCACCAUGCAAUAGGCAAGAAGAUGGUGAAAAAGCAGUGAGCUUGCGUUGUCUUCUAGCAUGGGCCCCAGAGAAGAGGAAAUGCAAGAUGGAAAAUGGGUGUUAGCGGCCACGAGGAGAUAGAGCUGUUUCUGGCACUGACGGGAGAGACAAGGCCAGGAGAGUGGGAAUUCACUUGCAUUCCAUCCAAGUCCAUAUUUAGAUUUUUAAGAGAGACAGAGAGAGUGAGAGCACAAGCAAGGGGAGCAGCAGAGGGAGAAGGAGAAGCCGACUCUGCUGAGCAGGAAGACGGAUGUGAGGCUCGAUCCCGGGACCCUGAUCUGAGCCAUAGGCAGGUGCUUAACCGACUGA